CCGGUACUUGCUGAAUGCUCUCACUUGAAUACAGAAAUCAGGGUCCUGAACUGACCAGAUGGCCCUACAGAAGACAUACAUCAUGAUGCAGAAUCAGAUGGACCCACUGGAGACCAGAAACUGAGAGACACCCUCCACACCCAAGAAUAGUCUACUAGUUGAAGCAGUCACCUGGAAUGUGGGACUCUCAGGCUUGGAGCUGGAACUUUAACGUGGGCCUACUAUAUCCCAGGAGUGAGGAAAUGCUGUGGAAGAACUUUUGCAAUAUAUAUAGAAGCAGAAUAACAAGGAGGAAAAUAUUCUACUUCCAGACUUUAUGAAUACUUUGAUCCUUGUUGAGGAUAACACUGGUACUGAGCUGCACAGACUGAAUCUGGAGGGCCUGCUCUCUUAUAUCCUCAGAUUCUUAUUGUCAGAGUGAUCAGCCCAAAGAAUGUUCUGGAGCGAUGAGGAAACUGAGGCAAAGAAAUGUGGAUUUUGGGAACCCAACAGUGCAAAUUACAUAUGAAAAUGAGAAGUGACCUUUCUGUCUACACUUCCAAAACAUCUAGUGCUGGCUAAGUAUUCCAAUUAUCAGCAGAAUACUUUUAUUUUGGCUUUUGCAUUGUUUGUUAAAAUAUCUCAAACUCACCAUUUUUUUUCUUUCUGAAAUGCGUUAACGAUAAUUAAAUCAACUACCAUUUCUGAGGUAAAGGUCUGAUAUCUAUCACAAAAAUAGAAAUUUAAGUUGCAUCAAAUUGGAUGUCAAAAACAGACUCCAACGAGAGACUGCUGAGUUGGAAUUAAUUUGCAAGAUGGACACC